rnacentral:rRNA from 1 species
GAGCACGUAGGUGGGUUUGUAAGUCAGAUGUGAAAGCCUUCUGUUCAACGGAAGAAUUGCAUCGGAAACUGCGAGUCUUGAGUGUAGGAGGGGAGAAUGGAACUUCUGGUGGAGCGGUGAAAUGCGUAGAUAUCAGAAGGAACGCCGGCGGCGAAAGCGAUUCUCUGGCCUAUUACUGACACUCAGUGUGCGAAAGCUAGGGGAGCAAACGGGAUUAGAUACCCCGGUAGUCCUAGCCGUAAACGAUGGGCACUAAGUAGAGGGGUUUU